rnacentral:rRNA from 1 species
GACAGAGGGUGCAAACGUUGUUCGGAAUUACUGGGCGUAAAGCGCGUGUAGGCGGCCCUGCAAGUCGGGUGUGAAACUCCACGGCUACAACCGUGGAAGUGCACUCGAAACUGCAGGGCUAGAGUCCUGGAGAGGAAGGUGGAAUGCUUGGUGUAGAGGUGAAAUUCGUAGAUAUCAAGCGGAACACCGGUGGCGAAGGCGGCCUUCUGGACAGUGACUGACGCUGAGACGCGAAAGCGUGGGGGAGCAAACAGGGAU